rnacentral:rRNA from 1 species
UACGGGGGGGGCAAGCGUUGUUCGGAAUUACUGGGCGUAAAGGGCUCAUAGGCGGCCAACUAAGUCGGACGUGAAAUCCCCAGGCUCAACCUGGGAACUGCGUCCGAUACUGGUGAGCUUGAGUGCAGGAGAGGAACGCGGAAUUCCAGGUGUAGCGGUGAAAUGCGUAGAUAUCUGGAGGAACACCGGUGGCGAAGGCGGCGUUCUGGACUGCAACUGACACUGAUGAACGAAAGCCAGGGGAGCAAACGGG